GGAUAACCGCAUGAAAGUGUGGCUAAUACGGGAUAUUCUGUGCCUGCUGCAUGGUGGGUGUGGGAAAGAUUGUGCCUUUGGGUGUUUUCGGUGGGGGAUGGGCUCGCGGCCUAUCAGCUUGUUGGUGGGGUGAUGGCCUACCAAGGCGGUGACGGGUAGCCGGCCUGAGAGGGUGGACGGUCACACUGGGACUGAGACACGGCCCAGACUCCUACGGGAGGCAGCAGUGGGGAAUAUUGCACAAUGGGCGCAAGCCUGAUGCAGCGACGCCGCGUGAGGGAUGGAGGCCUUCGGGUUGUGAACCUCUUUCGCCAGUGAAGCAGGCCUGUCCCUUUUGUGGUUGGAUUGACGGUAGCUGGAUAUGAAGCGCCGGCUAACUACGUGCCAGCAGCCGCGGUGAUACGUAGGGCGCGAGCGUUGUCCGGAAUUAUUGGGCGUAGAGAGCUCGUAGGCGGCUGGUCGCGUCUGUCGUGAAAUCCUCUGGCUUAACUGGGGGCUUGCGGUGGGUACGGGCCGGCUUGAGUGCGGUAGGGGAGACUGGAACUCCUGGUGUAGCGGUGGAAUGCGCAGAUAUCAGGAAGAACACCGGUGGCGAAGGCGGGUCUCUGGGCCGUUACUGACGCUGAGGAGCGAAAGCGUGGGGAGCGAACAGGAUUUGAUACCCUGGUAGUCCACGC
rnacentral:rRNA from 1 species